UUAUAAAAAUGAAUAAUUUUAUUACGUGGCACUAUUCAAAUUAGUGCCGCUAUAUUUCGAUGCUGUGUGCAGAACUUUUAUCGCUUUUUUGUUGAAUUUUUUUCAUUUUCUUCUUUACCGAAAUGGCAUCAAAUGAAGACAUGAAAACAAAAGACAGAGAAGGUUCUGAUGAUGAAAUGUCUGGUGGUGAAACAAUAGAUGGAGUUCAGGUCGAACGAAGAAGAUAUGCGGAAUUUGCUCUCAUUUGGACUUAGAGAAAAUUUGGAAUAUAAAUACAAAGUAUAAGUACAAGUAUAAGAGUACAAGUAUAAGUGUAUAAGUUUAGGUGAAUAAAUAUAGGUGUAUAAGUUUAAGUGAA